rnacentral:rRNA from 1 species
GACGAACGCUGGCGGCGUGCUUAACACAUGCAAGUCGAACGAAGUGGCGAACGGGUGAGUAACGCAUAAUCAACCUGCCCGUCAGAGGGGGACAACAGUUGGAAACGACUGCCAAUACAGCAUACUGAAGGAGGGGAGUGCGUUUGAUUAGCUAUUUGGAGGGGUAACGCCCCACCAAGGCGAUGAUCAGUAGCCGGGCUGAGAGGAUGAACGGCCAAAUUGGGACUGGGACAAGGCCCAGACUCCUACGGGAGGCAGCAGUGGGGAAGCUUCCGCAAUGGGCGAAAGUCUGACGGAGCAACGCCGCGGGAGUGAUGACGGCCUUCGGGUUGUAAAGCUCUGUUAAUCGGGACGCGGUACCGGAAUAGAAAGCCACGGCUAACUACGUGCCAGCAGCCGCGGUAAUUC